rnacentral:rRNA from 1 species
GUAACACAGGUGCUGCAUGGCUGUCGUCAGCUCGUGUCGUGAGAUGUUGGGUUAAGUCCCGCAACGAGCGCAACCCUUGUUCAUUAGUUGCUACAUUCAGUUGGGCACUCUAAUGAGACUGCCGGUGACAAACCGGAGGAAGGUGGGGAUGACGUCAAGUCCUCAUGGCCCUUAUAGGUGGGGCUACACACGCCAUACAAUGGAUGGUACAAAGGGUCGCCAACCCGCGAGGGGGAGCCAAUCCCAUAAAGCCAUUCGUAGUCCGGAUCGCAGUCUGCAACUCGACUGCGUGAAGUCGGAAUCGCUAGUAAUCGUGGAUCAGAAUGUCACGGUGAAUACGUUCCCGGGUCUU